CACAUUUUAACUCGUACAGGAUCAACAUGGAGUUACCACAACAUUACAACAUUUGUUACAAAAAUAACUUACAUCAGAGUGCGGAAGAUUUAUAACUCAACUUACAACAUAUGAUGGAAUAUAAACAACUAAAUUUCCAAAAGGUGUGUAGAGUAGCGGAAGCAUCCUAGGUGAAGCUUCUAAGGUAGGAGAGGUGGAUAAAUCAUGUCGCGCCCACCGACAUGACCUCCAUUAGCAGUCUAAGUCAGCACCUGCAACAGGGGUUAUAAAACCCUGAGUACGAAAGUACUCAACAAGACUUAACCGACUAAAAAAAAGAGGUGAAGACUCAGAUAUGCAGGCUAUAGGGAUUCAAGGUAAAGCUUUAGCAAGAUCAAAGCAUUUCUUUUGCAUAAAAGCUUACUAAGAGUAAAACCUACUUUCAAGUUUUAACUCAAGAUCAUCAUUUAUGACUAAUCAAAACUAUUAUCAAACUUUCAUAAGUAAACCAUAUCUUUCUUAUACCAAGAUUCACUUAUUACUACGAUGAUGGUACGAGGAUUGAGGCUCCAUAUCCGAGGAAACACGGCGAUUCGAAUCGAUUAAACCCAGCUGGGGAUUCAGUACCACACGACAUAUGUAGAACUUAAUCUUGCAUAUGUCAACCUUUUCUAUAGAUCCUCCCAUACAAGAACGGGUCCAGCGUCACCCGAGAGUACAGUACACCACCAUCCUACAGCCAAUCUAGAUGUUUCACGGUCAUCUCAGAUCCGUAAGGUGGGUACACGCUACUCUCGCCAUCUUUCCACUCCCAGUACGCGGUUAGCCGUUCUCAAGUAUCGGAAUAGCUAUAGGUAAGGCUUACCGCCGCAUGUGGGCUGUACUCAAAGUUCUCAAUCACAACAGGCCAAUCAACGGUACGGUCCUUAAUCGACACAGUUGGAGACACUACUUUAAGACUCCAUUCUUAAAGCAAGUCCACCGACCGGUCUCAAGUUUAACAUUAUCGACUACAAAAGUAUGCCACAACAACCCUUCAAACUUUCUCAUUUGAAAACUUAUCUAAUAAGCAGGGCUAAGCAUACUAAGCAUUUUCAUAAAACAAGUAUCAAGGUUAAUAUGGAAAUCAUCAAGGUAGAUAAUGCAGCAAAUAGGAUUCACUCAACUCCUAUUCACCUAAUGCAUCAUAUUAACUCAAGUGAUAUAAAUAACUUUAUGAAAAUACAAGGAUAGGGUUUAAUGUCCGGGGCUUGCCUUGACCGGAAGGGAAGUUCGGCAACUCAGCAAAACCAGAUGGUUCUUCAAACUCGGAAGUGACCUACUGAGGAUCUGAUUCUUCCGGAGCGUAUUCUAUACGUAAAAGUGCAUAUGCAUGAUCAAUGAGAUGCUCAUGACAUGAUAAAGACAGAUUACAUGUUCUUGGAUGAUAACAACAAUCAUAACUACCUCGAGUACAACUUACCUUCACGGUAUAGAAAUAAACUAACUUAGCUAUCAAAACAUAGAUUACUACUAAGCAAAUUUUAUCAUUUUCAUGAAGCAAGGUUGUAUAGAUAUCAGGCAACAAAGAUCAUUUAUAUGAAAUAAUCCAUAACCAGGGAGCAUAUCAUGCCAAGUAUCCACUGGUUAUCAAUCAAUCCCAAAGAUCAAUCAAAACCUAAAAUGAUUAGGCUUUCUAUUUUUCUUAAUAAACUCUUAAUUAAAUAUUAAUGACAGUAAUUAAGUAUUAACAUCAAACAAUAAUUAAAUGCCAAAGGUCAUAAAAGAUAAUGACCUCAGGUCAUCACACAAUCCCAAAAGCACUCAAAUUAUAAUUUGGAAAUUAAGUUACUCAUUAUUUAAGUAAAGGCUAGCUAAAAGCAAACAAUUCUAUUUGCACACAAAACCAGGACAGCAGCAUAUACACAACUUCAUUCAACCAUAAUUAGGGAUCCAAACAUCCAACAAAGGUGAUAUUAGACUUUCUGGAAAGAUUAGAUAAUUUUCUACAACUUUGUUAUUAUCUUCGAGAACUGAUUUAAUAGAUAAAAUGGCCAAACAGUAUGAAUAAACAAUUCUGUCCAGACCUUGGACAGAAUCAGACAUUAAGCUUCAUACAUCUAUAACCAGAGUUCUAGAUCAUCAAAAUUCAUGAUCCAUAACAUUUUGGAAAGCUUAUGAAAAUUACUACAAUUCAUCUUUUAUCAUGAAAGCAUAAUUCAUAAGUUUAGUAGGUUGAAAUUGCACAACUACAGAAACUGAUCCAGAAUUUGACAGAGAGGAACCAUUUCUGAAACUUAAAUUUAAACAGGCAUAACUCAGAAACUAUAGGGCCAAAUGCCACCAAAAUUUAACACCAGCUAGAUACAUGAAUUCUAUACAACUUUGUUAUAGACAAGUUUCAUAUCCAACAUUAUUUACCUAGAGCAAUUCAUAAGGUUCCAGAAACUGUCCAGAAAUCACUAAUAAUUUAAUUAUAGACAAAUAACAUUUCAUUUAUGUUCCAAACUUGGACCUGGGCAAAACCCAGCUCACCAAAAGUUGAAAUACAUCAAAGAGAUACUAGAAAAUAUCAUGGUCAUCCCUAAAUAAAUUCUUUUUAUGUCUUUAUUAAUUUAUUUAGAUAAAUAGACAAAGUAAUAACCAUAUAUCAAAAGUACACAAUAAAUUCUGAGAAAACUACAGAAGCUCAUAUAUGUUCUCCAAAGUCUACUGUAUAAAUUUCAUGCCAUUUGAAUAAGUAUAGCAGUUUCCAUGAAAAAGAUAAAUUUCCAUCACAAGAAAGCAUGUAGCAACAAGAUAAAUAAGAAACUCGACAUUUUCUACAAACACAUAGCUAAAUUAUGUAUCUGUAUGAUAUAAAGACCUCAUAUAAAGGCAGAGGAACCAUAUUUUACAUUUAUUUAUUUUUAGUUUAAUUUUAAACUAUUUAAUAAGCACUAAACAAGAUAAAUUAAUAACUUAACCAUAUAUCCUCUACUGAACAUGAAAUUUUUACUGUAACACUCACAUAACAUCACGAGAACACUAUAAAAAUUUCAGAGAAAUAGGAGCUAUACAGAAUGAGAUAUGAAUUUCUCCUUUUUAAACAUAAUUAAAAGGCAUAAAUCAUAACUAAUUAUUUUACUACAAAACAUGGUCAGUUUCAUAUUUUUAAUAAAAACUAGACAUCCUAAGGAGCACAACAAAAUUUGGUUCACCAAAAUUGGAGUUACCAAACUCCAGAUAUGAAUUUUCAAAGAUUCACUAAAACAUCUACAAACAAGUCCUUAUAGCACUAUUCACCUGAGUCACAGUCUGUGCAAUUAGACCCCUGGAGAACAUCAAAUUGUCGCGCGAAGUCCCUGGCCGCGAACUGAAAACAGAGGAGCUCGCCGGAGAUCGCAGUUUCGACGUUGGGGUGCUCGUCGGCGGCAGUGGAGCAGCGGGGGAGUUCACUUGGACUCACGCACACCCUCUGGUUCCCUCUACUUGGCCAGAGGUGGUCUGUGGAGGCAUGGCCACGUGAACAGCGGCACUGGCGGAGCUCUGGACGGGGCUAGGGGAAAACUUGGCGCUCCGGCCGCCGGGAAGGCGAGGGGACGAGUUGGGGAGCAUCAGGGGCUCAUCACGACUUCGUCAAGCUGCUCAGAACUGGUGGAGAAGCACGGAGGAGGGCUGGCCACGUGAAGCGCCCACGGCGGCGCUUUCGGCCGGAGUUGGGGAAGAAGAAGAAGCUCCAGCGAUUGGGCGGGUUAGAGGGCGUGCUAGGGAGCGCUCUGGGUUCGCAAGAGUGCGGCGAAAGUGGUGGAAGGCUCAAUUGAGUUGGGGAGGGAUCGAGUAUGGUGUAUUUGCGAAGGGAGUGGUCGCCGG
rnacentral:lncRNA from 1 species